rnacentral:rRNA from 1 species
UGGCGGACGGGUGAGUAAAGUAUCGGAACGUGCCCAGUCGUGGGGGAUAACGUAGCGAAAGUUACGCUAAUACCGCAUACGAUCUAUGGAUGAAAGCGGGGGAUCGCAAGACCUCGCGCGAUUGGAGCGGCCGAUAUCAGAUUAGGUAGUUGGUGGGGUAAAGGCUCACCAAGCCGACGAUCUGUAGCUGGUCUGAGAGGACGACCAGCCACACUGGGACUGAGACACGGCCCAGACUCCUACGGGAGGCAGCAGUGGGGAAUUUUGGACAAUGGGCGCAAGCCUGACCCAGCCAUGCCGCGUGCAGGAUGAAGGCCUUCGGGUUGUAAACUGCUUUUGUACGGAACGAAAAGGUUUGGCUUAAUACGUUGAACUCAUGACGGUACCGUAAGAAUAAGCACCGGCUAACUACGUGCCAGCAGCCGCGGUAAU